rnacentral:rRNA from 1 species
UACGUAGGGGGCUAGCGUUGUCCGGAAUCAUUGGGCGUAAAGCGCGUGUAGGCGGUCCGGUAAGUCCGCUGUGAAAGUCGGGGGCUCAACCCUCGGAUGCCGGUGGAUACUGUCGGGCUUGAGUACGGAAGAGGCGAGUGGAAUUCCUGGUGUAGCGGUGAAAUGCGCAGAUAGUCAAGGAGGAACACCAAUUGCGAAGGCAGACUCGCUG